CAGUGCAUUGGUUACUGCAAGCCAAGGGCGGUAGCAUU
rfam:Yersinia mollaretii ATCC 43969 contig01563, whole genome shotgun sequence.